rnacentral:rRNA from 1 species
AGGACGAACGCUGGCGGUGUGCUUCACACAUGCAAGUCGAACGAGGUAGCAAUACCUAGUGGCGGACGGGUGAGUAACGCGUGGGAAUCUGCCUUAGAAUGGGGGAUAACGGUCCGAAAGGAUCGCUAAUACCGCAUAGGCCGCAAGGUUAAAGGAGUAAUCCGUUCUAAGAUGAGCCCGCGUCCGAUUAGCUAGUUGGUAAGGUAAAGGCUUACCAAGGCGACGAUCGGUAGCUGGUCUGAGAGGAUGAUCAGCCACAAUGGGACUGAGACACGGCCCCAUACUCCUACGGGAGGCAGCAGUGGGGAAUUUUACGCAAUGGGCGAAAGCCUGACGUAGCGACACCGCGUGAACGAGAAGCCUCUUGGGGUGUAAAGUUCUGUCAGCUGGAACGAAAAAAAUGACGGUACCAGCAAAGGAAGCAUCGGCUAACUACGUGCCAGCAGCCGC